GGCCUAUUGGCUCAAUGGUAGAGCGUUGGUCUCCUAGUAUGGUAAACCAAAGGUUGUGGGUUCGAGUCCCAUGUAGGUCG